AGUGAACGCUGGCGGUAGGCCUAACACAUGCAAGUCGAACGGCAGCACAGUAAGAGCUUGCUCUUACGGGUGGCGAGUGGCGGACGGGUGAGGAAUACAUCGGAAUUUACUUUUUCGUGGGGGAUAACGUAGGGAAACUUACGCUAAUACCGCAUACGACCUACGGGUGAAAGCAGGGGAUCUUCGGGCCUUGCGCGAUUGAAUGAGCCGAUGUCGGAUUAGCUAGUUGGCGGGGUAAAGGCCCACCAAGGCGACGAUCCGUAGCUGGUCUGAGAGGAUGAUCAGCCACACUGGAACUGAGACACGGUCCAGACUCCGACGGGAGGCAGCAGUGGGGAAUAUUGGACAAUGGGCGCAAGCCUGAUCCAGCCAUACCGCGUGGGUGAAGAAGGCCUUCGGGUUGUAAAGCCCUUUUGUUGGGAAAGAAAAGCAGCAGGUUAAUACCCCGCUGUUCUGACGGGACCCAAAGAAUAAGCACCGGCUAACUUCGU
rnacentral:rRNA from 1 species